CAACAGCAUUUUGAAAUUGAAGUUGACAAAACUUGAUUUGAGUGGUUGCUCAAAGCUGAGGACCUUCCCUGAGAUCUUGGAGCCUACACAAAAUUUUGCUCACGUUAACUUGACAGAAACGGCCAUUAAAGAAUUGCCAUUUUCAUUUGGCAAUUUGGUUCAGCUUCAAACCCUGCGUCUGAACAUGUGCACUGAUCUCGAGUCACUUCCAAACAGCAUUGUCAAUCUGAACCUUCUAUCUGUACUCGAUUGCUCGGGGUGUGCCAAAUUAACAGAAAUCCCAAGCGACAUUGGUUGCUUGUCAUUAUUAAGGGAACUGUCACUGAGUGAGAGCGAAAUUGUGAACCUUCCUGAGAGCAUUGCUCAUCUUUCAAGCUUGGAAUUACUUGAUUUAAGUGAAUGCAAAAAGCUUGAAUGCAUCCCUCGGCUUCCCGCAUUUCUAAAACAACUAUUGGCAUUUGAUUGUCAAUCUAUUACAACAGUGAUGCCAUUGUCAAAUUCACCUAUUCAAAUCCCAUCAAAUUCCAAAGAGGGUGGCUUCAGAUUUUAUUUCACCAAUGGUCAACAACUUGAUCCAGGUGCUCGUGCUAAUAUUAUGGAUGAGGCAAGGCUUAGGAUGACCGAGGAUGCAUAUAGGUCUGUGUUCUUUUGUUUUCCAGGGGGUGAAGUUCCUCAUUGGUUCCCUUUUCGUUGCGAGGGACAUUCAAUAACUAUACAUAGAGAUUCUCUAGAUUUUUGCAGAAAUGACAGGCUCAUUGGUUUCGCUCUGUGUGUCGUUUUCCAACUGCCAGAUACCAAUGAUAUGGAAGGCAGAUACGGUUCUUUUAGUUACUGCCUAAAAUAUGAAUCUGAUUUUCGCAUACACAUUCUUCCCAACAAUGAUAAGUUAACAAGCCAUUUCAAUUGGGAGGGUCGAGAGCGAAAACUUGAUCAAGAUCACACAUUUCUUUGGAAAUAUAACUUAGAAUCCCCAGGGAUGAGUGGCAUGAGCCGUAUGCUCCCUCGUGCUCGCAGCUUCACUUUUGAGAUCAGUCCAUAUAUUGAUGAUAAUUACAUUCGGCGGCGACCAUCUUUCUUAUCAAUUGUCAGAGACAUCAAAGCAACUGUCAAAGUAAAAGAAUGCGGAAUAUGCCCUCUUUAUACCAAAGAGAAAGAUGAUGAUAAUAAUGCUGAUGCAGGUGGCAAUUAUGGAUCUGUGAGAUUUUCAAAAAAUGGCAUUGAAGAACCUAGUGGAAGCAAUGUUGCAUGGAAGGAGGAAGCCCUUUAAUAAGCUACCUAGUCAGCAAAUAUCCUUUUCUUCUGGCAAGUAAUCAUUCCUUGGUGUCUAAAUUGGCUUAUCACUAAUACUUUUUACAAGUUUUAAUUGUCUAAAUUUAAUUUUAUUUACAUUUUUAAUAUUUGAAGCAAUCAGUUGACAAUGGCAUUCAACAGGUUCACUCAGGUGUCUAAAUUGGCAUUCAGCGGGUUCAUUCAAGUGUGGACAAAGAGAUUUCUAAGUUGUAGCGAGAUAUAGUUUGAUGUGUUCCCACAAAGGUAACUUGGCUUGCUCGGUUUUCCCACAGCUUCAAUUUCUUGAAACUCUUUCCAUUUUGGCUUCAUUAACUUCUUUAGCAUCUUCUGGCCAGGACAUGACCAAAUAUUACUUCAUGCUUGCAUAGCAGCAAAGGCAAUAUGAAUUUUAGAGGAGCUCCAUUUAUAAAGGUAAUUGGUAAAUCCUUUCGAUAGUUUCUGUUCAAAAAUGCCUUAGUUACUCAGCUAUGGAUGUUACUAAAUAAUUAAUUUCCAUGGACAGAGUCUUUAGGUGAUGUUUUUCUGUUAUAUUUUAUUUUUAAGAGCACUAAUUCACUGUUAUGGUGCUGAAAAUUUUCAGUUAUGCUUAAGCUCUCUCUCUAUAUAAAAUGCAGUGUCAUGCUUAUAAUGUGUGCUUGCAUAAGAAAACCAGUCUUCUAUUUUUCUGCCUUUUCAUAUUUUUUUUCUCAGUUUGUUAUUGCUUUGUCCUUCUAUAUAACAACAGUUUCCUCCUUCCUAUCAAGCCUUAUAUUCCCAGUUUUAUGACAAGGUUUUGGGAUCUCUAGUUGUUGUUGUAAUUGAAUAUCAUAACAUUGAAUUAACUUUGUGCAUCGGGCGGUGAAGCCAGAAAAUUCUUUGCUUGGUUAACAUGGAACAGUUGAUGAUAUGAAGUUAUUUCUUAUUUUUCUUGGUUUGUGGUGUGUUUCCUAGCCUAAUUCACUUUCACUUUUUGUUUACCUUUCUACAUUGCCAUUAAUAAGUGAUUCCUUUGGGCAGGUAACAUAGGUAAUCAUUUUAUUUCAGGAAUUUAAAAUACAGCUGGAUUUGGUGUAUACAACUCUCAUGGCAUUUUCUACAUUCUGGCCCUGAUCGUUUAGCUUAUCUGCGCUUCAUGUUGAAUACGAGUCCAAAUUCAAAUAUGUUCUUUCUUCACAUUGGGGAAGCUUGUUUCGAGUUGCGACUUAUAAGUGCUGUUAGCAUGUGAUUGUUAAUUGUAGUUUGAUAAUCAAGUUGAAGACCAUUUUAAUGUAUAAUCAAGUUGAUUGAAUCUCUCAAUACCAUUUUCUUUUUCUUUUACUUCUUUCGCGACUUUCUUUCAACAUGACAAACUACAAACUAUCCUUAUUCGGGGGAUUUUAAUGGUUUCUUUUAAGAUUGCAAUUCUUUAAUUGUUGGAAUUCAAGAAUGAGAUAAAGUCACUGCUUGAACAACUUUAACCCUUGAGUUUUGAAAUUAGACUUAGUCACGGAUUAAUGUCCUACUCUUCAAAAAAGUAUAAAUAUUUUUGAAUAAUUGAGAAUUAAUAACAAAAUUUUGUAUAACAUGAUUUUAUAAUGAUAAUUUUAUUUUAAAAUAUAUAAUUUAAAAUAUACAUUAAUUUAAAUGUUACACUUCUUUUAUCCUCCAGUUAAUUAUACAUAACAUUACAAAGAGAUGGGUAAACACAUGUUGGGUUUAAGUUGGAUAAAAGUCUAAAAUUUGUUUUAGAUAAAGAUAAAUUUUUACAUAUGAUUUUAUGUCAAAGAAGAGUCUAGAAAUAAUUGUGUGCAAAAUUGAUUUUAAGUUUAAAGAACUUUAAGUAACUUUUAAUUGAAUCAAUAAUUUUUAUUAAAUUUUAUCUCUAACUUGCUUUUAUAAUACAAACAUAAAUUGUAUUACUUUAAAAUCAAUUUAAAUUAAAAUUAAUUUUAUUCAAAAUUAAUUUUUUCAAAAAGCUUAUUCAAACAUUCACAAAUUUUAUAAAUAUUUGUAAUAUUCAUUGAUAUUUAUCAAAAUAUCUGUUGGAUCACAGGCUUAACGCGCUUGUUGCAGGCUUAGCGCGGGUGCUUCCUGGCCGGCUUAGCCCAUGACGCACGCUGAGUGCGCGUAUUGACUGGGCCUAUUUUGAUUUUUUCUUUUUUCUUCAUUAUUUCCCACUUUUUGGUUAUAGAACCUCCCAGCACAUAUAGCGGCAUCCAAAAAUAAACAAAACAUCAGUUCUUUAAGAUUUAAGCGCAAAUAACUGCUAAAGAUUAGUUUUAAGGACAAUUUUACCUUAUUUUCUAAUUAUCAAAAUACAUUAUUUUGGCUGUAUCAAAGGGUAUUUAAUGGAUGAAAAUGGUUGAAAAUUAAUGAUUGGAAAAAUUUAUUGUACUGUUUUUAUAUUUUUGGAACCUAAAUCUCUAAGUUUUUACACGGAGNNNNNNNNNNNNNNNNNNNNNNNNNNNNNNNNNNNNNNNNNNNNNNNNNNNNNNNNNNNNNNNNNNNNNNNNNNNNNNNNNNNNNNNNNNNNNNNNNNNNUUCUUUUGUGUUAGCAUAUUUUUACUUUCCGGAUGCCCUUCAUCGUUGCGUCAGUAUCUUUUUUAUAUAUAUAAAAAAUAAAGAUUAAUUAUAUAUUUAACUUGAUAUUUUAACUUUCUUUAAUAAAAUAUAAAUCUCAAGAGAAUAUACUUUUUAACGGUGUUAUUAAUCUUUCAUUCACGCCUGAUUCACACUAAUACGAUGUGAUAUAAUUCCAGUUCACUCUAGAGGUUUAAUUUAUGAUUCAUGAGUAAAAAAUAUAUUUGUUGAGAGAUGCUAACAGCUUAAUCUUAAAUGUAUCUUAAUAUCUUAAUGAAUUAAUCAUUAAUUUUUAACAAAGAAUACUUCGAGUUCAUCCAAAAAUUCAUGUGUGGUUUAUGGUUAAUCCAAUUCUUUUUAUAUAAUUAACAAGACUAUGUUGAUCAAGAUAAUUUUAGUUAGUUGUUUUUAUCUUUUUUUUUUAAUUGGCCGUAAAGAUUAUUUGAUGGUCAAGUAAAUUAUUUUUUUAUACUAAUUUUUAAUGAUUUUUAAAAUUUUACAGUAAUAUUUUUUAAAAUAUUAACUUUUAUCUUUUUAUAUUUUUUUAUUUUUAUCCUGAAUAUAUUUAUUUAAUUUUUUUAUUACUCCUUUUUAAAUAAAUAAUAAUUUUAUUAUUUUUCAACUAUUUUACACUUUUCAAUACUUUAGCCGUUAAUUUAACCAAACAUUUAUUAUUUGUUUAGCAUGAGUUUAACAACUUUAAUCGGUAUCUUUAUAUUUGUUGAAUACUUAUAUUGGGGUGUUGUUAAGACUAGACUCAUUCUUCUAUUUGACUUAAUUUAAUGUUGAUUUUGAUAAAUUUGAGUUUUGAAAUUAGACAUAGAUACUUGGUGUAUUUUGAGGAAGAGUUCAAAUUAAUUAAGUAUUAGGUUAUCUUAACUUGAUUUAAUGCCAUAUUCUUUAAAAUAAGUAUAAAUAUUUUUGAAUAAUUAAGUAUUAAUAAAAUUUUGUAUAACACAAACCAUUCUCAAUUGAACAUGCACACAGCAAAGUUUUUGCAGUUUACUUUAGAGUUCAAUUUAUCUUAUUUUAAAAAAGGCAUUAAUUUUUUUUUUCUCAAAGACAGUUUUUUUGAAUGAUUAUUUCCCCUAAAAAUAAUAUUUCCUAAACAUAUAAAAGUCAUUUAUUUUGAAUGAUAAUGGUAACAACCUGCUGGUAAAUCCCAUCUGCCAUGGUAGUUCUCUUUGCAGAGGGAAAUCCAAGAGCUUGGAUACUCAGAUUUGAUAAGGAGUUGAUAGCUGUGUUUUGUUCAGUAAGUAUAAACUUUAUUAGGACUUACGUGAACCAUUAAUUUGACAUGUCCGAUUAUAAGUUGGUAGCUAUGUUUCAGUUUUGUUGUGGUAUAUUUGUUGUAUCAAUGCGCAGUGUUGUAAAUAAUCGUAUGGGCAUGUCAGAAGAAGGGACCGGUUUAGGCAAAUUAUCCUAAUGGGGUUUCUUUUAGAAAGUAUUUCUCAUAAUGGGUCUGUUUUAAAAUAAUUUAUAACAUAAGUUUGUUGUUUUACAUAAAAUACAUGUAAACCGCCAGUGUUACUUAGUGCAUGUUGUUUUGAUGUUGGUUGCUUAGCACGUGUUGUUCUAACAUUGCUUGCUUAGUGUAUGGUGUGCGUUAAGCACGGCAUUGGGUUGAGCCUUUUUUAUUUUUUUUUUUUGUUAUUUUUCAACCUUUUUGCUUUUUGUUACUCCAAUUUUUAUAUCUGUAGCCAAUAUUUAACAAAAUAUCAAUUCUGAACACAUUAAUACAAAUAACUGUUAAAUAAUUAUUUUUUAAAAGAAAUUUUACUUAAUUUUUUAUUAUUAAAGUAUAAUUAUUUAACAAUUAUCAAAUAUAUAUAAUGGAAGGGUCUAAUAUUCCAAAACGUGGCAAUUGAAGGUUUCAAUCCCUGCAGAAAGAACUAUUCACACUUAGUAUAUAAUAGUCUCUCGAAUAGGAUUACUGUCAAAAAACAAAAAAACAUGUUUCUCAAAAUUAAUUACCUUACUCUAGAAUUUUUUUUUUUUUUUUAUAAAAUUUGGUUAAAUUUUUUUUCUUUCUCUAAUUUUUUUUUUACAUUCAAUUUGAUUCUUUAUUAUUUUAGCUUCAUUUAAGUCUUUAAUUUUUAAAAUUGAUUCAAUUUCAUUCUUUAUUUUUUAAAAUAAGUUUAAUUUGGUCUCGCCGUCGAAAUUAAUUUGAAUAAUUAUAUUAUCUAAAUUUGUCUUGUUUUUUAAUUGUGUGUUUUAUAGCGGUUUAAAACUAUCACUAAGUAAUUUUAAAUAAUCAUAUUCAAUUUAGACAAUAUAAUCAAAUUGAAUCGAUUUAAAAAUUUAUAUAAUUAAAUUGAACAUAAGUAAAUAAGAGGAUCAAUAAGUUAAUUUAACCUAAAAACUUCAAAAGAAACAUGCAACUAAACAUUUUUUUUAAAUACUAAAAAAUGAAACUCCUAAUCAUAGUUUUAAAGUUUGACUUAAAAAAUAUAAUUGAACACAUUAAAAUUAUCUUUUGAUAAAAGGGAACAAUUUUAUUUAAAAUUUAUCAAAUGGUAGUGAUUUUUGAAUUAAUUUUUAAAUGUGAGUAAGUCCUAGAAUUUUCAUGACUUUGGUUUAAGAAGUUAUAAAAAAAUUUACAAAUUUUUUUUAGUGAAGUCAUAAAAAUUUGAUGAUUUUUGUGGAGUUAUUUUUUAUUUUUUUAAUUUAGUAAUGUAAAUUCAUUAAUUUCCAAGUACUCUAAAGUUGUACAAUGUUAUUUUUUUAACAACAACAACUCUAAAAUUAUUUUUACUUAUACUACUUCUAUAUAUUUGUUUUAAUAAAAAAAGACUUUAAAGUAGUCGAAUAUAUAUACUAACUUCUUAUAUGAAUAAAGUUGCUUAUUAUAUAAUACAUAAUAUAAUAAAAAAACGCAUUACUUCUAUUUAGAGUUCAUCAAUUUCGAUAAAAUAAAGACUAUAAUGCUACACUAGAAUUAAAAAAAAACAUUGGACGAUUGUAAAGUAGUUGAAAAUUUAUGACUUUACACUAUUUUCAUUAUUAAGUCAAAGAUUUACUUUAAGAAAAUAAAUAGUCAUUAAACUUUUUACAAUCUCAGUAAAAAUGAAUAAAUAAAAAAGAGGACUAAAAGCAUAUUUAUGACAGUAAACCUAUCCAUCUACACAAUUUUAUUUUUUAUUUGAAAUUUAUUAACUAGUGAGUAUUCUUAAAUAAGAAUAAGUUAGAGGAAUAUUAAGACGUAGAAGUCAUAAAAAUUUAACCUUUUAUUUUUUUAUUUAGUUUUAAUAAAAUAAAAAAAAAUUGAUAACUUUUGUGUAAAAUAACUUAAUAAUGUAAAGUCCUAAAUUUUGAACGACUUUAAAGUCGUGCAAUGUUGUCAGAGUUAUGUCAAUAAUGUGUAUUUUUUUUUUAGAUUUUUCUAUUUGUGGGUUGAUUUUAAACUAUUAUAAGAAAAAAAGAUAAGAGGUAACAGAUAUUACCAUAUUUGAGUUAGAAAUCAUUACAUUAUGACUUUUUUAAUUGAAGUUGUAAUUUUUUUUAUUUGAGUUUAAUUUUUUUUUUAUUUACGACUUUGAAAUCAUAUAUUUUUUUAUGUUUAAAGUUAUUUGUUUUAUGAUUUUUUAUUUAUUUGUAUUUUUUUUCUUUUGCUUUCAAAUUUUGAUAGGUCUCACCUAACCCACUUUUACAUAUUAAAUUCUUUUCAUUUUUUCCACACUCCUUUUUUUCUUCUUCUCACUUUCUCUCAUUCUCUCUCCUCGUUUGAGUUCCUCUUCUUCCUUUUUUUUUUCUUCUAACUCCUUCAAUCUUUUUCUUUCUUAUUUCUUCUUCCUUAUCCCCUUGUUGGUAAGUCUAUUUUUUUUUUUGGAUAUGUUUGUUUUAUUGUUAGGGAGAAUGAGAGUAAAAAAAUAUUUUUUUGUUAAUCAAAUUUUGAGAUCUACUGAAAAUUAGAUCUUAAAUUCUAGAUCAUUAGUUAAGAUAUGAUACUCUUAGUGAUAUAGUACAGCUUUAUAUAAAAGAAAAAGUAAAUGGAUAUGUUUAUUGCCAUAAAUGUAUAUUUUAAUGCAAAAUAAAGCAUUUUUUGUGGUUAAGAUUUCAUAUAGUUUGCUUUUUAUUCACGCUAUAGUCGAAGACCCGAGAGACGACUAAGAGGUGCAGAGACAUUGAACGAUUCUAAAGCAGUUGGAAAUUUUAAUAGGUCUUUUGACCAAAUUAAAGGAGACAAUUUUAUUUGGAAUUUAUUAACAAGUGAUUAUUCUUAGAUAAGAAUAAGUUAUGGGGAUAAUAAGACUAAGGCGUAAGAAGUCAUAAAAAAUUUCACCUUUUAUUUAUUUUUUAUUUAGUUUUAAUGAAAUAAUAAAAAUAAAGCAUAUUUUGUGGUUAAGAUUUCAUGUAGUUUGCUUUUUAUUCAUGCUAUAGUCGAAGACCUGAGAGACUCAGACUAAGAGUUGCAGAGGCAAGAAAGAAAUUUGAUUACAAUGGCGGGGAGUUCUUCAUCAGCUGCUGUGUCUCUUCUUCCUGUAAUUAGGCAUGAUGUGUUCCUCAACUUCAGAGGGGAAGACACCCGUGACAACUUCAUUAGUCACAUUUAUGCUGAACUACAGAGGAAUAAGAUUGAAACAUAUAUAGAUUACAGACUAGCCAGAGGCGAAGAGAUUUCACCUGCACUCCACAAAGCAAUAGAAGAAUCUAUGAUUUAUGUUGUCGUUUUCUCCCAGAACUAUGCAUCUUCCACAUGGUGUUUGGAUGAACUCACAAAGAUACUCAAUUGCAAGAAGAGAUAUGGAAGGGUUGUGAUCCCAGUUUUCUAUAAGGUGGAUCCAUCAAUUGUUAGGCAUCAGAGAGAGACAUAUGCAGAAGAAUUCGUUAAGUAUAAACAUCGAUUUGCAGACAACAUCGACAAAGUGCAUGCAUGGAAGGCUGCUCUAACUGAAGCAGCUGAGAUCGCGGGCUGGGAUUCACAAAAAACCAGGUCUUUAAUAAUUACAUGCUCUUUUGAGAUGUUUUAGACUUCUUUUAAUUUACUUAGAUGCUAAAAUUGUAUUAAUCAAGUAAUUCUCUUGUGUAUUUACAAAUUCAAGACCAAUAUUAUGUAGGACUCCAAUAUCUGUCUCUAUCCAAUAUAUGAUAUUUUCUUUUUUACCUAGAAGUGUUUAAGGAGAAGUUUAUUAAAACAGGUUCUGAUACUUUAUUUUGUUUUAUUAUGAGCCAGUCCAGAAGCCACACUUGUUGCAGAAAUUGUGAAAGAUAUUUUGACAAAAUUGAAUAGUUCUUCCAGUUGUGAUCAUCAAGAAUUUGUUGGAAUUGAAACCCAUAUUACACAAAUCAAGCUCUUGAUGAAGCUUGAGACACUGGAUAUUCGGAUCAUAGGAAUUUGGGGCUUGGGGGGAAUUGGAAAGACUACGAUUGCAGGGCAAAUAUAUCACCAAUUGGCGUCACAGUUCUGUUCCAGCAGUCUUGUUUUAAAUGUUCCGGAAGAAAUAGAAAGACAUGGAAUACAACGUACAAGAAGCAACUAUGAGAAAGAGCUUGUAGAGGGAGGCAUAAGUAUUUCAAGUGAAAGACUCAAACGGACAAAGGUUCUCCUCUUUCUUGAUGAUGUUAAUGAUUCAGGUCAACUAAGAGAUUUAAUUGGAGGGCGUGGUCGUUUUGGCCAGGGGAGUCGAAUUAUUUUGACCAGCAGAGACAUGCAGGUGCUUAAGAAUGCUGAAGCUGAUGAAAUCUAUGAAGUUAAGGAGAUGAAUGAUGAAGAAUCUCUAAAACUUUUCAGUAUACAUGCUUUUCACCAAAACCAGCCAAUAGAAACUUACAAGGAGUUAUCAGAAAAGGUAUUGCGUUAUGCUAAAGGGAUUCCACUUGCUCUCCAGAUUUUGGGCUCGUUGCUUUAUAGAAAAACAGAGGAAGUAUGGAAAAACCAGUUGCAAAAGUUGGAAAAGUAUCCCGAUUCCAAAAUUUUCAAUGUAUUAAAACUAAGUUAUGAUGGGCUUGAUGAGGAGCAGAAGAAUAUAUUUCUUGACAUAGCUUGCUUUUAUAGAGGUUAUUGGGAGAUUUUCGUGGCACAACAGCUAGAGAGCUGUGGUUUCUCUGCUACCAUUGGAAUGGAUGUUCUCAAAGAUAAGUGUCUAAUAUCUAUUUUGAAAGGUAACGUUCAGAUGCAUGAUCUGAUACAAGAAAUGGGACGAGAAAUUGUUCGUCAAGAAUGUUGCCUUAAUCCAGGAAAACGCAGUCGAUUGUGGAAGGUUGAGGAAAUUCAUCAAGUCUUAAAAAAUAACGAGGUAUAGUGAUCUGUGACUCAAAUCACUUUCACAUAAUCACGUGGAUUUACUUUAUGAUAAAUUGCAAAGCACUUAGCUAUUAAUACUAUAAAACUUCUGUAGCAACUGUUUUUCAAAGUUUGUAUUUCUCUAAUUGUUUUGAUUUACUUUUAGGGGACGGAUGCAGUACAGUGUAUAUUGCUAGACACAUACAAAAUCAAUAAAGUUAAACUACAUUCUAAAACUUUCGAAAAGAUGGAAAAUCUGAGGAUGCUCCACUUCUUUAAUUCUCAUGUCCCCUGGAGUGAAUCAAAUGUAUUUCUUGCAUCAUCUCUUAAAAGUCUUCCGGAUGGUUUAAAAAUUCUUUGUUGGGAUGGCUUCCCUCAGAGAUCUUUGCCGCAGAACUAUUGGCCACAAAAUCUAGUGAGACUGGAAAUGAUACGUUGCCAUCUUGAACAACUUUGGGAACCAGAUCAGGUUUUUUAAGCUUUCUAUCUUUCUGUGUUUUACAAUUUUAAAGAUAAAAGUUCAACAAGAUGGUUUUCUAUAUUGUACUGGUAUAUUUUAAUUUUUCAUAAAAUUUAUAAAUAUGCUUUGAAAAUAAAUUUUCCGUAAACAAAUCGAAGUUAGUGAUUAAAUUACAAAUUACGUGUUAAAAUAAACUCUUUUUUUCUUCUAAAAUUACAAAUAUAAGUUCAUAAUCAAUAAAAGACAUCCAAACAUAAAUCAAAUUAUUUUAAAAUCAAAUUUAAUUAACAUUAAUUUAAUUUAAAAUUGGCUUGAAACGCACAUAUGGAGGUGUAAUUAAACAUUUUUUUUACAUGCAAAUUGACCUAAUUUUCUUUUAGAUAUCUAAUCAUGUACUUAUUAUGGCAGAAAUUACCGAAUUUGAAAUGGUUGGACCUGCGUUAUUCUGGGAAACUAAUUCGAAUACCGGACCUUUAUCUGUCACCAGAUAUUGAAGGAAUAUUACUGACUGGUUGCUCAAAGUUCGAAAUAUUCCCAGAAAUUAAGGACACAAUGGAAAAUCUAGCUGUGCUCAAAUUAGACGGAACAGCAAUAAAGACCCUACCUUCAUCCUUGUGCCGUUUGGUAGCGCUUGAAGUAUUGAGCCUGGACAGUUGCGCAAGUCUUGAGACUAUUCCAUCUUCCAUUGGAGAUCUCAGCAAACUCUGCAAGUUAGGCCUUACCUACUGUGAAUCACUUGAAACUUUUCCGAGCAGCAUUUUCAAAUUGAAGUUGACAAAACUUGAUUUGAGUCGUUGCUCAAAGCUGAGGACCUUCCCUGAGAUCUUGGAGCCUGCACAAACUUUUGCUCACGUUAACUUAACAGGAACGGCCAUUAAAGAAUUGCCUUUUUCAUUUGGCAAUUUGGUUCAUCUUCAAACCUUGCGCCUGAACAUGUGCACUAAUCUCGAGUCACUUCCCAACAGCAUUUUCAAAUUGAAGUUGACAAAACUUGAUUUGAGUCGUUGCUCAAAGCUGAGGACCUUCCCUGAGAUCUUGGAGCCUGCACAAACUUUUGCUCACGUUAACUUAACAGGAACGGCCAUUAAAGAAUUGCCUUUUUCAUUUGGCAAUUUGGUUCAUCUUCAAACCUUGCGCCUGAACAUGUGCACUGAUCUCGAGUCACUUCCAAACAGCAUUGUCAAAUUGAAGUUGACAGAACUUGAUUUGAGUGGUUGCUCAAAGCUGAGGACCUUCCCCGAGAUCUUGGAGCCUGCACAAACUUUUGCUCACGUUUACU
rnacentral:lncRNA from 1 species